GGAAAAGUUCAAGGGGUAAAAAUACUUUUUCAAGGCACUGUAUGUGCACCACUGUGGUCCCAGCCACUAGAGAGGUCAGUACCUUUUCCUUUAGCAUACAAGCACGGCCACUGCUGCUGGAUUGCAUGGUGGUCAUAACCUCUGGAUACAAGCCGUGUAUAAUGUAAUGGAAAAAUGAAUCCAGCCAGCAAAGAAUAUGGACAAUCACAAUACAUUAAUAAGUGCCUUGUAUUAAUUUGUUCUCCAUGGUAAAUGCCAUUUGCUGAAGUGAGACAACCCUUUUAAUACAAGAAAGUUUCUGAUAUGCCUUGGUUUUUUUAUACUUGAAAUUAAUGGAGCAAACGCAUUCAGAUGCAUGUAAUAUCUGGGUACUUUGUUCAUUUUCUACAGCACAUAACAGACAAAAAAAUCCAGUGAGGCUGAGCUGCAAUACCAAACACUGUCCAAAGAGGUGAGUGAGGUGGAUUCUAGCAGAAAAAAUAAAUAUUUUUUCCAAUCUUAGACACUCUGUUUAUGUUGGAUUAAAGAAAACAUUGCUUCACAUCACAUUUUGAGAUUGAAUGUGUCACAAACCUUCCUUGGAACCCCUUUAAACUGGUAUUUUUCUUCUUGCUUGUCCAUAUAAGUAUAUGAGAAAAUACUACUUUGGUAGGCCACACAUUUUAUUUGUGUUUCCAUUGUAAAAACAUUUAACAAAAAUACAAAACUAGAUAAUUAUAAUAUAGGGAAAUAGCUGGAUGAAGACAUCAGAGUCAAAACACUUGAUAUGUUUAUUAAUAAAUACACUUGGAAAAUACUGUAAAUCUGCAGUCUCUGAGGUCCUUAAAAGACAGCUUUCCAGUUCACUAGUCAUGAUUUUUUUUUACUGCAGAACAACUGCUGCCAUGGCCUACAAAAUAUUGUAGGUAUGAAGACUCUUAAUUUUGCAACAAUCCAGGAAAGAAUAGUCUUGAACAUUUGAAAUAUCAGUUAUAGAGUUCAUUUCCCUCAUGUUCGCCUAAGGCUACUUUCACACUUGCGGUAGCCUUUUCCGAAAGGCUGUUCCGGCUGGGCAACAGACU